rnacentral:rRNA from 1 species
AGACUAAGCCAUGCAUGUCUAAGUAUAAACGCUUCUGUACUGUGAAACUGCGAAUGGCUCAUUAAAUCAGUUAUAGUUUAUUUGAUGGUUGCUUUGCUACUUGGAUAACCGUAGUAAUUCUAGAGCUAAUACAUGCAGAAAAAUCCCGACUUCUGGAAGGGAUGUAUUUAUUAGAUCCAAAACCGGCGCGGGUUCCUUUCGGGGUCCCGGUUGCUUGGCGAUUCAUGAUAACUGCUCGAACCGUAUGGCCUCCGAGCCGACGGUGCUUCAUUCAAAUUUCUGCCCUAUCAACUUUCGAUGGUACGGUAGUGGCCUACCAUGGUUGCAACGGGUGACGGAGAAUUAGGGUUCGAUUCCGGAGAGGGAGCCUGAGAGACGGCUACCACAUCUAAGGAAGGCAGCAGGCGCGCAAAUUACCCAAUCCCGACUCGGGGAGGUAGUGACAAUAAAUAACAAUGCCGGGCUAUAGUAGUCUGGCAAUUGGAAUGAGUACAAUCUAAACCCCUUAACGAGGAACAAUUGGAGGGCAAGUCUGGUGCCAGCAGCCGCGGUAAUUCCAGCUCCAAUAGCGUAUAUUAAAGUUGUUGCAGUUAAAAAGCUCGUAGUUGGAUUUCGGGGCGGCCUGGCUGGUCCGUCGCAAGACGAGUACUGGUCAGCCGCCCUUCCUCUCGAAAGCCCCGACUGCUCUUCGUUGCAGUGGUCGGGUAGUUCGGGACGUUUACUUUGAAAAAAUUAGAGUGUUCAAGGCAGGCUCUCGCCUGAAUACAUUAGCAUGGAAUAAUGGAAAAGGACCUCGGUCCUAUUUUGUUGGUUUCUGGGGCCGAAGUAAUGAUUAAGAGGGACAGUUGGGGGCAUUCGUAUUUAAUUGUCAGAGGUGAAAUUCUCGGAUUUAUGAAAGACGAACGACUGCGAAAGCAUUUGCCAAGGAUGUUUUCAUUAAUCAAGAACGAAAGUUAGGGGUUCGA